AUUCCAUAUACCCGAAAAUGCGUGUGUGUGAAGCACGUAAUCAGUAGGGAAACGGGGAACGACUAAAUUGCCUUGUUAACCGGUACGGCCUGACCCCUACCGGCAUGCAGAAGCAUCGCCUGUGGAGGGUUAUAGGGGAGUUCAGUCUUUACCUUGUAGUCUAUGGUUGAACGUUGUUAUUUCAGCCAUUUGUGAGCUAAUUUUAGGAUUUUUUAUUUCUAGUUUUGGAAUAUCGAAUCUUGCUGCUGCUAUUGUUUACUCCAAAACCGGCUGCUACUUACUAGAGCCUAGAGCCAGCAGCUGGGUGCCUUAAAGUUGAAGUUGAAGUUAGUGAAAUAUCACUAAUGUAUAGAAUUGAAUUUUGUAACUAUGCCAAGGUAACAAGCCGUCUUAUGGUAGAAAUUCUUAGGCCUUACGCCUUAGUUGUUACUGGUUGUCUGCUGAAUGUAGAUUGUGUUCUAUUUUAAACAUUAUCUUGGUUAACAACACUAAAAUUUGCCUCUUUUUUGUGCCAACCUGAGACACACUUCUUUUCAAGAUUAUUUGCAUGAUACACUUAAUUGUUAUUUGAAGGUAGAUUGUCACCAGACAUCCUUUGAAUGGUAUACCCACUGUCAGCAGCCUUACAGUGUGCUUCAUAAAUACAUCAACCCCUGAGAUAACAUUAUCGUUGGAAAUUGUGUUUUUGUUUUCCACUUCUAUUAUCCAUAUGCAAUUUUCACACUACUUCAUUACCUUUGUGGUGGAUAUUUUAUCAUCCUGGAAAAAGGAUUAUGGAAAUUGGUGAUUUCUAAUAUACAGCUGCAGAUAACAAGUUUUAAUAUAUUAACAUUUCAGAAUGAGCGUCCAAUUUGAAGUUGUGAGUGUUUUAUCAGAUUACAUCCUACUUUGAAAACCAAACUAUUUCCUUCUACAACUGGAUUUUGAAUUAUGGUACAUGGGUAUUAUGUGAUCUUGAUAUCUUUGCAAAGUCUUUAAUUGAUGUUAUAGGCUACUAAAAAAAUUCCCACAGAAGGAAGUUCUUGCAGGAUCUGUUAUCGACCGUCUAUGCUAUGCAGUAAUUGGAUGACACUCUGGCACUCUUUGGAAGGACGACCGGCAAUUUCAAGAUUCAUUUAUUUCCUUCCACAUGAUAGUAUUUAUUUAUUUUAAAAAAUUGAAUUGCAUAUCUGGGCUCCCUUCUUUUCUGUGGCCCCGUUUCCCCUUGACUCGUAAUAAGCCCGUAGGGGGUCAUGCCUCUACUGUGAUCAGCAGUAA